rnacentral:tRNA from 1 species
AUUUAUAUAGUAUAAAAAGUGCAACUAAUUUCCAAUUAGUAAGUUUAAUAUUCUUAAUAUAAAUA